rnacentral:rRNA from 1 species
GAUGAACGCUGGCGGCGUGCUUAACACAUGCAAGUCGAACGAUGAAGCCCAGCUUGCUGGGUGGAUUAGUGGCGAACGGGUGAGUAACACGUGAGUAACCUGCCCUUAACUCUGGGAUAAGCCUGGGAAACUAGGUCUAAUACCGGAUAGGAGCGCCUACCGCAUGGUGGGUGUUGGAAAGAUUUAUCGGUUUUGGAUGGACUCGCGGCCUAUCAGCUUGUUGGUGAGGUAAUGGCUCACCAAGGCGACGACGGGUAGCCGGCCUGAGAGGGUGACCGGCCACACUGGGACUGAGACACGGCCCAGACUCCUACGGGAGGCAGCAGUGGGGAAUAUUGCACAAUGGGCGCAAGCCUGAUGCAGCGACGCCGCGUGAGGGAUGACGGCCUUCGGGUUGUAAACCUCCUUCAGUAGGGAAGAAGCGAAAGUGACGGUACCUGCAGAAGAAGCACCGGCUAACUACGUG